rnacentral:rRNA from 1 species
UUAAAGGUACCCGUACCGCAAACCGACACAGGUGGGUGAGGAGAGUAUCCUAAGGCCCGCGAGAGAACUGUUGUUAAGGAACUCGGCAAAAUGACCCCGUAACUUAGGGAUAAGGGGUGCCACCAUCCGGUGGCCGCAGAGAAUAGGCCCAAGCGACUGUUUACCAAAAACAUAGGUUUCUGCUAAGUCGCAAGACGAUGUAUAGGAGCUGACGCCUGCCCGGUGCUGGAAGGUUAAGGGGAUCUGUUAGAGCAAUCGAAGCAGUGAACUUAAGCCCCAGUAAACGGCGGCCGUAACUAUAACGGUCCUAAGGUAGCGAAAUUCCUUGUCGGGUAAGUUCCGACCCGCACGAAAGGCGUAACGAUUUGGGCACUGUCUCAACAACAGACUCGGUGAAAUUGUAAUUCCGGUGAAGAUGCCGGAUACCUGCGACAGGACGGAAAGACCCCAUGGAGCUUUACUGUAGCUUGACAUUGGGUCUUGGUACUACAUGUACAGGAUAGGUGGGAGGCUUUGAAACCAGGACGCCAGUUUUGGCGGAGCCAUCCUUGGGAUACCACCCUUGUAGUACUGGGACUCUAACCAUAGGCCAUGAAUCUGGUCUUGGGACACUGUCAGGUGGGCAGUUUGACUGGGGCGGUCGCCUCCCAAAAGGUAACGGAGGCGCUCAAAGGUUCUCUCAGUACGGUCGGAAAUCGUACGUAGAGUGUAAAGGCAAAAGAGAGCUUGAUUGCAAGACAUACAGGUCGAGCAA